AUAAAUAAUGCAAUCACCUCUCAACCAACGAUUUUCUGUUUCUAACCGCGAUUCAGAAAAAGUGAUUAUGAAUCGUGAUUUUGAUUUUCGCUUUACACUUUUCCUCUUCAUCAUUUAGGGUUUUUAAUUUAAGUGAUUUUGAUUUUUAGGUUGUUAUGAGGUUGAAGCCCAAUGUGCCAUGACAAAGGCAAAGGAGAUUCCGUGAUUGAGAAGGUUUCUAGUGAUUCGUUGUCUAUCAACGGUCAGUCACGAUUUCACUUUUGAUUCUGUUGCUCAAAUGGAUUCUACCCAGGCACGUUUUCUUCGCUAUACUAGUAUAUGUUUGAGCUUAUUGGUGUCCCCCUAGUAAAGAAUUGCUUGGCGGGGUUCAAUAGUUCCAUUUUCGCAUAUGGGCGGGCAGUGGAAAGACAUUCCACAAUGUGGGGUCCUCCCAAUUCUUUGGAAGUCGAAAACUCAACAAGGAGGUCUUGCUCCUCGCAUUUUCGAGUGACUCUUUGCCCGCAUAAAUGAAGAGCAAACCGAUCAACUCCAGUAUUAGUGUCACUGUUCUUUUCUUGAGGGAUUGUUAAACAGAACAGUAGGUGCAACCAGUGUAAAUUCUGAAAGCUCCCGUUCACAUACUGUUUUUACUUGUGUAGUUGAAUCUCGAUGCAAGAGUAUUGCAGAUCGUAUUAGAUGUAAAACAAGUAAAAUCAAUCUUGUUGAUUUAGCUGGGUCAGAAUGACAGAAAUCAACAGGUGCAGCAGGAUCCUGUUUGAAGGAAGCUGAUAACAUUAAUAAAUCACUUUCACAGCUUGGGAAUGUGAUUAAAAUUCUUGCUGAAAUUUCUCAGACAGGAAAGCAGCGGCAUAUACCAUAUAGAGACUCCAAAUUGACAUUUUUAAUGCAGGAGUCUCUUGGUGGAAAUGCAAAAUUAACAUUGCUCUGCGAUAUUUCCGCUGCACAAAGCUGUAGGAGUGAAACUAUUUGUACAUUGAAAUUCGCACAACGUGUCAAAGCUUAUCAAGAACAAAGCUGUUGUAAAUGAAGUAAUGCAUGAUGAGGUGAACCAAUUGCUAGAAGUAAUUUGCGAACUCAAGUUGCAACAGUACAAGCAUGAGAGGGAAUGCAAUAAAAACGUAGGACAGACAUGUUCGUUAGCUGAAGAGAGUUUCAAAAUAAAACUUGAGCAGGAAAGAAAUCAAUGGACCGAGGCAGAAAGUAGGUGGAUUUCCCUUUCUGAAAAACUCAGAGCUGAAGUUGAAGCUAACAGUUGUGAAUUAGAUGCUGAGAGGAAUUGUUCCAAGGAACUGAAAGAUGCAUUGCAAAUAGCUAUAAAAGAUCGUGCACGGAUUUUAGAACAGUAUGCAGAUUUGGAAGAGAAACAUGUCAAGUUGCUCGAAAGACAUAGAACGAUCCAUGAUGGAAUUGAUGACAAGAAUGCAACUUCCGAAGCUGGAGAUCAAUUUCAGAUAAAAACUAGACAGCCUAUUAAGCUUUCAUCAAGUCUGACAAAGCUUACUAAUCUUGAGUUGACCGAGGAAAAGAAGAUGCUCAUGAAUACCUCGAUUUUUUACAAAUUGUGCCAAGUUGAAAACUCAAAAGAGAGUUCUUCGACUCUCAGCACAACAGACCUUUGGGCAGUGUACUUCUGGAUGGGAGGAUCAGAAAAUUUUACUGGUGGCCGCAUCGAUGGUAUCCUUUCAUAUAUGAGUGCCUAACAUAGUCUCAAUGUAAACGAUGUAUAUAGGAAAAUGGUUGAAACAAACAUUAUUAAUAAUGUGAAAAGUUGCCUGGGAAAAACAAUCCUCCAAAACUGGAGCAGCCCCCUUAAAACAAUGUUGACCAGACUUCCUCAUCUUAUCUUUCAAAUCUUUGAGAGAUUCACAAGGGUGAUCAAAUACAGCUUUUGCCCAGUUGAUUGGCUCAAAAGCCUCCAGAUCUUUAACAAACACCCAAGAAGAACUACGAAGAGUCUUUGCGUCGCUUGCACAUAACAGAAAUUGCUCAACCAAAAAAUAAGACAACAAUUGUUUAAAAUACAAUUUGUUGUGCUCAUCAUCUACCGACACAUCUUUCAAGAUUUUCCUAAGAUGUGAUGAGUUGAAUAUUUUCCCAUUGUCACCAACAUGUUUUUUUCUAAGGUCAUACACAAAAGUGGGAAAUUUUGUCCUUUCAACAUAGGGAUAAUCAAUCCCGGUAUCUUUGAUACCAAGAACAUUUGCGAUCUCUCUAGUACAAAAGCGGAAAGAUGUUUUAUUAUUUAAGACAAAUAUUUGCUUUUCCGGGUCAUAAAGCUGUAUUUGAUCACCUUUGUGAAUCUCUCAAAGAUUUGAAAGAGAAUAUGAGGAAAGCCUGGUCAACAUUGUUUUAAGGGGCUGCUCUAGUUUUGGAGGUAUGUUUUUCCCAAACAACUUUUCACAUUAUUAACAAUGUUUCAAGCAUUUUCCUAUAUACAUCGUUUACAUUGAGACUAUGUUAGACACUCAUAUAUAAAAGGAUACUAUCCGUGCGGCCACCGGUAAAAUUUUCUGAUCCUCCCAUCAAGAAGUACAGUGCCCAAAGGUCUGUUGUGCUGAACCUUGAUAAACUAACCACCGAACAGAUAAAUGUAUGUCCAUGGUGUAAUCUUCAAGAUUUGUCUUUAGUGGAAGAUGAUGCUUGCUCUCUUCUCUAAUCACACAAAUGCUAAUUGUAACAACAGGAGGUUUAUAUAUUUUUUGUUCGUUGUAGGUUAAUCAACCACCACUCCAAAAAUUACUUGGUGAAUCUCCAAAUGUAUCUGAAUUAAUUUGGUGGUCUUUACACACGUUAGCAUAAUAGAAAAAAAUGGAUAGACGGCCCAUCUGCAUGCUAGUUAUAUAUUGGUUGAGCAUAUUCAACUGGGGCAAAGCAUCAGACCCGAAUGAAUCAAUUUGUUUGGUGAAAUUAAGAAAGUUUGUUUCUACAAUAUAGUUUCUAAAAGAUUAUGAGUCAUGUUCAUGUCAAGAGGUUUGUAAAGUGGAAAGCAUUGAAAUUGGAAGAGAAAGAUUUUAUUUAUUUUUUAAUAAUCGAAGAUAAA